CAUGUUUCCACCUGCUCGCGGUGUGAACUCAGACAAGUGACUUUAACCUCUCCUCCAGCGUCGGCAUCCUUCUUCUGUCAGAGCGAGCCUGAUUCCCGGUUCCUGUAGGAACUAACGUCAUAAUGACAGAGGAGACACUAUAAGCAAAGAAUAGCUACCAUUCUGGGGGUUCGAUCUCUGUCAGCCCCGGAGGGAUGUGGGCUUUGAUCCCUGCGGAUUUUGACCCUUCUUUUCCUAGGGGUUAAAUAGUAACCCAUAGUGAGGCAGGUGUUUAUAGAGCCGUUGGGAAGUUUGUUUCUCAAAUAAUGAAACAAAUCGUUUUUCUUUUAACAGCUCAUUGGCCCCAUGAAGUCGGGGGCGCUGAUUGAGAAGCGUUAUGAUGAGGUCACUGCCAGCCGUGAAUGCGCUCUCUGCGUGCCAGGAACGACCGCAUCCUGUUCCACGUCCUGGAACUGCUGGGCUCAGGUGUGCAGCCCCGUGGCCAGGUGUCCAUCGUUAAAAUCCACUUUCCAGAGGCGCUCCCGUCCCGUGCAAGUGAGCCCCACUGCGUGCCCAGACCUGUGCUGGGACAUCAGUGCAAAGGAAGCAGAACUACCGCCUGCCCGAGAGCCUUCUGUGUAGCUCGGGGGUGAAAGCACCCUGGCCGGUACCUCCGUGCCCCCCACCACAGCCUUCCUCCCACCCCUCAGGACGUCGGUGAGGCUUUUCCCAUCUAUUCCAUUUCCUUCCCACAGCCGGGAACAUGGACAACUUCUUAACGUCCUCUCUGCGCUUCCCUGACAUCCUUCACGGACCUCCUGGUCUUUUUUUGAAAAGUUUCACUGUUAAUCAUCACAGAAGCAAAUAAGAAUACCAGGCAUGGGGAAGUUACAAAGGCCCCCAAAUCUUUACCUUUUUUUUUUUUUUUUUCUCUCUCUCUUUUUCAGGGCUGCACUUGCAGCAUAUGGAAGUUUCCAGGUGAGGAGAUGAAUCAGAGCUACAGCUGCUGGCCUACACCACAGCCACAGCAACGACAGAUCCGAGCUGUCUGCGACCUACAUCACAGCUCACGGCAACCCUGGAUCCUUAACCCACGGAGCAGGACCAGGGAUUGAACCUACGUCCUCUUGGAUACUAGUCAGGUUCAUUACUGCUGAGCCACAAGGGGAACUCCCCAAAUCUUUCACUUGAGCCACUGCUUAUGGAAAGUAAAUUUGGUGCAAUUUUCCUGGGCACUGUUGCCUUUAAAAGUUUGUGUACCACCAUAUGUAAAAAUAAACUCAAAAUGGAUUAAAGACUUAAAUGCA
rnacentral:lncRNA from 1 species